CGGAACGGGUGAGUAACGCGUGAGGAACCUGCCUCAAAGAGGGGGAAAACAGUUGGAAACGACUGCUAAUACCGCAUAAGCCCACGGGCCGGCAUCGAGCAGAGGGAAAAGGAGCAAUCCGCUUUGAGAUGGCCUCGCGUCCGAUUAGCUAGUUGGUGAGGUAACGGCCCACCAAGGCAACGAUCGGUAGCCGGACUGAGAGGUUGAACGGCCACAUUGGGACUGAGACACGGCCCAG
rnacentral:rRNA from 1 species